CUUGCCGGACUCCUCGCAGCCAGGUGGCUUGAAAGCGAUGAAGCUGAUGCACUGUACUUGCCUGGUGUUGUCGAAGCCGAUGAUGCGGACAUAGGCGCCAGGGUAUUCCUUCUUGACCUCCUCCAACUCCUUGAGCACCUGCGUGGCGUCAGUGCACCCGAACAUGGGAAGCUUCCACAUUGUCCAGUACCUCCCGUCCUAGUACCCUGGGGAGUUGCCGUGCUCACGGAAGACGAAACCGACCUUGCUGAACUCGAGGCAAGGAACCCAUUUGGAGCGGAUGAGAUACUCGAUCUGCUUCAGGAGGGACUCCACGGUGAGAGGUGGCAGGUAGGAAAGGGUCUCGAACUUCUUGAUGCCCUCAAUUGGCCACACCUGCAAUUAGAUUAAAAUUAGCACACAAAGUGUGAUUUGAGACACAUAUCGAUGGAGUAUUUCACUUCACACAUAUCGGUAUGAUGAUAUACAUACCUGCAUGCUCGUGAUCCUGCCACCGUUGGAGACGCUGCCGAGGCCAGCGCCGGCAGAGCGGCGGCUGACGGGGAGCCCGGCGGUGGACUUGAGGCCCCGGAAAGGAGCAACAGCGGUAGCCGCCGCCGACAUCACUGUCGGACCCAUAGCAUCCACCCUUGUAUCACUAGAGUAUAUCUACUUAGCUAAUAUGCUAAGUUUGGCACGGAGAGAGGAGGUCGAGUGGACUUCAUUCCUGGUCACAAGGGUUUAUAUAUACCAUAUAACAUACGAGCAAUUUGUGAUUAAUUUGUUGUCGUUCUAGGAGAUGUGGAAAGGGUGGAUGCCGUUCGUUGGUUGCCUUAUCCGUUCUAGAGAAGGGAUGGAUGACCGACGCUCGCUCAGCCGUCUCCUUCGUCCAUCGUUGCCAAUCUUUCUAGCUAUAAUUGGAAGUUCCAAAGGAACAUACGGUUUCAUGCCUACUUCCAUCGGCCUAUCAUGUACCAAUCCAAUAAAAGGACAUCGUUCAACCAUCAAUCCAUGUGUGUGUAGUAAGUGAUUGGCUACGAACCUUCAGCUGACUUGCUUUAUUGGAUAUUUCUGUAAAGCGAGUCCACGGUGUGUGGGUUUAAAAUCUCGUGGCGGCAACUGUUGACGGGUGCAAAUAUCAGUAGCCUUAAAACAAUAAACUUUACUCCGUCCCUUCCGAAAUGCAAGAAUGUCCUAAGUCAAACUUCUUAUGCUGCAGGACCAUAGUUUUUGAGGUGUUCUUCUCACGAGUCCACGAAGAACGGGAAUUUUUUGGUGUCGGGUAAGGGCGGGGGAAUAUAUAGAUGCUAGCAUCAGCAUGACGGGCUAACGGGUCAGGUAGGAUUUUGGACGACGUAGCACCUGACAUGUGGGGGCCACAUGUAAGAAAACCUGUCAAAAUGUCAUAACCCUCUGUUUUGGUCAACUUGAUACAAUCUGAUACAAAACGUGUGGUUUUCCUGACAAAUUAGCAAAUUUUGUGUCUCUGUGAGAAGCACGCCCCAAAAACUGUGGUUCCGUGAAAUUUAUUCACUAGUUACACUUUAUCUACAAACAUCUACGAUUCUAAAAUAGUUUGGUAUAUAUUUUCCGUAAUAUAAUUAUUUGAUAUUCUAAAUUCGGGGAUUUGUUCUUAUAAACUUGGUCGAAGUUUAAAAAGUUUGACUUCGGACAAAGUUACGACUUUUUACAUUUAGGAAUGAAGGGAAUACAUUUUAGUAAAGCAAUUGAGGAAUUGACAGAAUUAAAUAUCUUAAAUUAUACUGGUCCAUCGUGUACUCAUGGCAACAAAAUAAAUUUAUAGUCGAAAAGUUGGACCAUGAAAACUUAAAACGUGAUACAUUAAAAUUGUUGAAUCACUCUACAUCUUGUAAUUUUCUCUUGCAACCUUCUGGCGCGCUACUCAUUCCACAUUUGGUACUAUAUGUAUAAAUGUAUAUAUAUACCGCAUUAGGAGCCUCUAUUACUGUUUUAGUAUAAAUAGCAGUUUCCAUCGACUAUGCACUUCAUUAACUUUUUCUUCACGAGAUAACUUGCUUAUCGAUUUUCUUUAAUUAUCCAGAUGGCUUCUACUAGUUUGUUUCCUUGCUUACUGGGAUUUCCGCAGACUUUACGGUUAGGUAUUAUUGUCGUGUGGACAACACGGUGGCCGGAUGUUGAGAUGAUGAUGUCCUUUAUCUCCGUGUUGCUUCUGAGGACUGCGGAUCCGAGGCUAGUGGCGGUAUGGGAUGCCUCUCUACCUCUUGAUCAGGUCAAUCCGGCUCAGCAAGAGGCGGAUCGAUGGUGGCCGGUGUGACUAGAAGCGGGGAGGUAUAUAUGAAACGUUUCUUGCUUCCAGCAUCUCUUCUAGCGGUAUAUAUGUCGUCAGCUGGUUGAGGGAUUGAUGGCAAUCGAUCAUGGCUACGAUGACAUGUAUACGCGCCGGUAGGAACACAUAUCAGGCAAUGUCGAUGCACCUGCAUUGGGCCCUUGCUGAAGGUGGUGGUGCGUAUGGCAGUCUAAAGAUUUAAGACACAAAUUUAGACUUAAAACUUAAAUAAUCAAUUUGUGCCAGCGGGAAACACACAAACACGUACCGGUAAAUUAUCAUAAUCAGAAUUUGUCGACGAAUUUGAUAUUCUUUUACAAAAUAUACUUAUCUUAAUAUGUAUAACCGGAGUUUAUAUUACAUGCCCCUCUCCCAACGAUAGUUGUAGUACUCUUAUAAUAGUAGUACUCAUGAAUACAGUUAAUCCGGGUUGUUGGGAGAGAUCACAUGCAUAAAUACAACAUGAAACAAACGUGUGAAAAAGGUACAUAAAAUCGGUGUGACCCGUUCUUGUAUUAUAAGAAAUCAACUUGCUUAGGCCUUGCCGGACUCCUCACAACCCGGUGGCUUGAAGGCGAUGAAGCUGAUGCACUGCACUUGCCUGGUGUUGUCGAAGCCGAUGAUGCGGACAUAGGCGUCAGGGUACUCCUUCUUCACCUCCUCCAGCUCCUUUAGCACCUGCGUGGCGUCGGUGCACCCGAACAUGGGAAGCUUCCACAUUGUCCAGUACCUGCCGUCGUAGUACCCGGGAGAGUUGCCGUGCUCACGGAAGACGAAACCGACCUUGCUGAACUCGAGGCAAGGAACCCACUUGGAGCGGAUGAGAUACUCGAUCUGCUUCAAGAGGGACUCCACGGUGAGAGGCGGCAGGUAGGAAAGGGUUUCGAACUUCUUGAUGCCCUCAAUUGGCCACACCUACAAUUAGAUUAAUAAUUAGCACCGAAAGUAUAAUUUGAGACACAUAUCAGUAUUUCACUUCAACAUAUGUACAUGAUGACAUACAUACCUGCAUGCACCUGAUCCUUCCACCGUUGGAGACGCUGCCGAGACCAGCGCUGGCUGAGCGGCGGCCGAUGGGGAGCCCGGCGGUGGACUUGAGGCCCUGGAAAGGAGCAACGGCAGUAGCCGCUGACGACAUCACUGUGGGAGCCAUCGUACACGUACGUAGAUAGCUAACAAGAGGAGGCAGGCUUGCUUGAGUGCUCUCUAGCUACAGCGGCUUAUAUAACUGUAGGCUCCCCACCCAUCCAAUAUCAGCACAAGAUCUAGGAGGGGUGGCUGCAGUUCGCCGCGCGGAUUUGCCCAGGCCACGCUGGCAUCCUACGGAUCAGGUCGGGCGCCACAUGGCCGCACGAAAUGGCGCGCGUUAUCCUCUGGACGGAUACAAUUGGCUGCAACGCACUCUGCAAAUCAUGCCAUGAAGUGACCAAUUUUCACCUAUCAGGAUAGAUCCAAUGUGCCACGGCAUGCACUCAAAAACAGAACUUGCUAAUCCCUCCAAUCCAUAAAAAAUCUCGCCCACUUAUUAGAAAAUUUGUAAUGAGUUAAUGCAAAAUGAGCAGCACUUUUUAUGAACUAGAGGAACAACAAAUUAAGAGAAACUCUUCUAAGAUCUUAUCGAGAACGAAGCUUGCCCCCGCGUCGCUCAGUCUGGGGCGACACGGGCGGCAACCACACCAGCCCCGGCAGCAGCCUCUCCCCGUCCUCUCCUCCCCCUCGCCGCCGCCGGGCAAAGCCCGCACGGGGACGGCGGCGGCGGGGCUGUUUUUCUUGGCGGGGGUGUCCUAGAGCUCUUGGCUGAGGCGUUUGAGGUGCUGCCUCAUCGUGGUCGCGGCGUCUCCGGCCCGAUCCGGCAGGCUAUGCCUCGUCUUCGGCUAGAUCCGGCCGGCUUCCUCCCGGAUCCGGUGUUUCCCCUCGUUCUUCCUCUCCCUGGUGCUCGGUCUGCUCGUGGCUGCGCGGCUUCACGGCGGCGCUCUUCGGCCGGAUCUAGCUACUCGUUGGCCAGAUCCGUCAUCUCCUCCGGCUGAUCCGGCAUGUCCCAGGUCUCUUCGUUUCCAUCAUUUUUCCUCUCAGUUUGGUGAGGCGGCUGAUUGAACUUCACCGGCGGCAGAUGGGCUGCUGCUGCGGCCAUACAUGGUCCAAGUCGGUCCUUUUCGAUGCCAUGGUGGCGUGGUUUUCAUUUUCGGUCGCGUCUUCGGCUGCUGCCCGUGUGCGAGGUAUGGACGUCGGCUCCGGUGUUUGGAGUGUUGCUCUGGAUGAAAACUGCCCGUGUGCGAGGUAUGCCGAAGACAACGAUGUUGUAGCGCCGUUUUCCUUCUUGGAGGUGUCGUCGAAGAGCUUCACUUUCCCUCACUUUGAUGUUUGGUGUCUUCGGGUGAAAACCUAAGAUUUGGCUAUGGCCAGAUCGGGCGACAACGGCGUUUUUACGUCGAUUUCCUCCUUGGGGGCGUUGUCAUGGAGACAACGACUCUUGGUGGCAUCGGGUGGUGUGGUCCGUCUAUGGUGGAGCUUGUUGUCUCGAGUUGUUGAAGGUUUGGUGGUGUCUCUUCUUGUGUCAUGUGUUAGCUUAGGCUGUCGGUUUGUGUCCGGCGAGAACGUGCGUUUCUUAUCCUUUGGUGCGGUUUCGGCAUGUGAUGCCUUUCGUCUUCACUAUCGUCACGUAGGUGUCGUGUUGUAUUCUCGGUGGUGUGUGGUCUUUCGGCUUAGCCAACGGCAAGUGGAGGUAUGAUCUCGGUUGUGUAUUGCCCUUCGACUUCAUCGGCGGCACAUCGGCGUCGCGGUGGGUCUCAGUGACGCGCAGCCCUUCGACUCUGCCGGCUACGUAGGUGUCAUGGUGCGGCCUUGACCCUGUGCUUCCCUUCAGCUACGGCGACGACAUAGUGUCUGGGUGGGCUCGUCAGAUCGACGCCUUUCGACUACAUCAACUAUGCUCUUCAUUGUGCAUUUAUUUUGCCAUUGACAUGUUUCAAGAGUCUAGGUUUUUUCCUUGUGUUUCUUUUAGCAAAUGCUGUUCUGCAGGCUGGCUUUUGCCCACCCGAUCAGAAAAGAAAAACAAAUUAAAGGCUAAAAUCAAGCGAUGUUAUAUUCCCUUAGCUAUUACAAAUAUGGAUGAUAAGAGUUAUUUAUCCUUUUUCAACGAGUAACCCUUUACUUGGAAGUUCCAUGUGCAUGGCGCUGCAAGAAAACAAACAUCAUAAUGGGGCAAGACUUUUUUUUUUAUAAACAUCCAAUUUGGGUUAAAGUCUGAAAGAAUUUGGCUAUCUGAACUUUCAGUUUCCACAUUCUUUUACCUACUCAAUUCUUCAGCCAACAGGAUCAAUGGCGACCUACUAACACCAACCAGAACACAUGGGUCACAAACACGAAAAAGGGCUAGAAGGCUACUUAUACACACUCAUGUGUACUGCGAGCAAAAGAACAUAAUGUACAAAACUUUACAAAAUCUAGGGAAUUAAGACCUUCCCGUAUGCUGUUGCUGCCGCUGCUGCUUCAUGCUGGCUCUCCUGGCAACAUCCCAUGGUUUGUGAGGCACACCUACACCUUGCUGGGAUGCGAAGAACGACUCGUAUCCCGGGGAGUCGAAAGCAAAACCAGUGUGCUUGGAGUUCUCUCGAGGGAGCAUGGAGAUCGCAUAGCUUCUUGCUUCUUCUGGGCUCAAAUGGCUCCUCUCAGGCAGAUGUAUCAUGCUGUAUUCGUGGGGGUCAUCCUUGUGCAUCUCCUGGAUUACUUGGUAGUCAUAGGGAAAGAGCCAUCUUUGGAGCCUGAGAAAGCACACAGCAUCAAAGACAACAAUUGAUUCAGCUACUUCAGUAUGUACAAUGGAAGGAAUAACAAACGGAUGGCAUUAACAAACAUAUAAUUUUGCAAAAGAGCUGGUAUCUUACGAUAGAUACAGGAAAUCACCAAAGAGAGCGAUGACUGGAGCAAGCAUUAGUGUGAGGUAGAAGAAAAAGGUACUCAUCAGAACAUAAAUCACAAAAUAUACAUUUUCCUGCACAAGGUACACAGCAUUAAGUCAAUGCAUUUGUAGCAAGUAAUCGUCAUCAGCAGUGUAAUAGCUACAUUAUUCACCCACCUGUCGGUCAAAUGAUGUCAUUAUCGCAGAAUAUAUGAAGAUAAACAGAAACCAGGCCGCUAUACUGCCAGCUACGCUGAAAUAAUGCCAUCUCGUGAUAGAAUUGCACGACAUGAGGAGACGUAGAUUAACAGUCACCACAACACAAGUAAAGGCCAUCGUGCUAACAUCCCAUUGACCAAGAAUCUUGCCAGAUGAACCGUGACCAUGCUGACUUGCAGCUGCAGUAAAGUAAUAGAACACUAUUGACUGGUAGAAGGCAAAGAAACCCCACACCGCAAUCACUUUCCACCGGAAGAAUGUGUUCCUAAUUCCUUCUUGGUAAAGUUGUGGGUAUUUUUUUGAUAGAGAUGCACUCACAUCCUGAAAGGGUUCAGUUUAGUGAAUGUAGCAAGGAGCGUCACUCCAGAACAAGAAAAGUAGAACAAAUACAAGCAACCAUACCUUAUCAAACAACCCAACCAUAAUUACAGGUAGUGCCGUGAAAAUGACAUUAUACAGAGACUGGAACCAGUCAUCAUAAAAUCGCUGACCAGAAAAGCCAGUUUGGAAAGUGAACCAGAACUGAGUUAGUGUAAAAGUCAGAUUCUUGUAGAAGAAGUAUGUGAUAACCUGAAACAGAAAGUGUCAAUGUUAAAAAAAUUAAACUACACAGAUUGGCAGCUACAAGCUAAGGGACCAAAGCAUACCUUGCACAAUCUCAAGUAUGACCACCGCCCAUGUACAAGAAGUAAAUCCGUAAGAUAUCGAAACUGAGCAAUGGCAAAAUCACUCGCCAUAACAGCUUGCAUUCCUUCUUGUCCGCUGAUGCCAAUACCAACAUGAGCAGCUUGAAUCAUACUCACAUCAUUAGCACCAUCACCAAUACUGAGAGUUAUCUUACGUGCACCUUUCCUAACUAAACUUGCAACCUACAAAUGUGUCAACAUUACAUGUUUUGGCAUCAUUCGAACCCAACAGGUUAUUAGGAAAUAAAUCCAAAAAUAAGAGACUUUGAGAUUGCUGAUGGGAUGGGUAACAACCAAAUAAGCACAUAUACAAUAAGUUAAUUAAUACUACCUUUGUUUCAAAAUAUUAUACCAAAACGUCUUAUAUUUUGAAACAGAGAUAGUACUUAUAGUACAAGAGUGUACAGGACAUUUAGUUAAGAGGCCAAAACUAGAAUAGCAAAAGCAACCAAUGCACAGUGGUUAAUAAUGAUCUUGUGAAUCAUGCACAAACUAUUUUGUUGUCAAGGUACAAAAUUGGAUCCUUUAAAAUGUAAUAAUAUCAAUAUCCCCCGUUUAUUGCCCAAGCAUCCUGAAAGGCAUGCAGCUGAGAGCUGCAGACCAUACUGCUAAUUAUUUCAUGGGAAAAGGCAAGGCAUGCAUGAUAAGAACGCUAAAAGCGAGAAUUGAUAUUUACCUGUGCCUUUUGCAGUGGAGAAACUCGACAACAUACAACUGAUUGGCAAAUUAAACUCAAACCAAGAAGAUUCACACGCAGAGCUGGGUCUAGAGCGUACAUCAAGCAUCGUCCAUCAAUAAUGAAAGCCAACUUUCGUCCUGGCGUGCUCCUCAAAGAACGGUGGGCUUCCUCAAGGUAACUUCUCAGACUCUGUUUUACCGAGUCUUUGAUAACACGUGCAAUUUCCACAGGGUCUCCCUGAAAAUGACUGGAACAUUAUUCAUGGCAAAGAUAUGUGCAUAAGUUGAUUUACAUCAAUCAGAUACAAAUGCUAAAUUGCUAAUUAUGGUUGAUCAAACUGCAAAACACACGAGAUAUCCAAAAGGCUAUAUAAACAUGAUGGAGAGGCUAAAGCACUGAAACAACAGAAUCAACAUAAAGUAUUUUGUACUAUUAUGCAACUAAGCCUUUUGUCCCAAGCAAGUUGGGGCAGGCUAGAUAUGAAACCCAAACAGAAACUAAAGCAAAGUGCAGGUAACAAAAGAGCAAGAGAGUAAAUCAAGGUUCAGGCACAUGGACUGCUGAUUUCCAUGCAGCCCUAUCAAAAGCAAAAUCUCUAGAUACAUUCCAGUCCUUCAAGUCCCUUUAACUGCCUCCUACCAAAAGCAAAUAUCAUAGUAAUCCACCAACCAAAGUAACAAGGGAACUACUUGUAACUUCUUAGUUCACAAGUACAUACCAGUUGAGCUAUCCAAUUAUUCUAAAUAAUAUGGUUUGAUACCUUUACCAAAGUCUCAACUUGUAUUCAUUUUAAAGCUUAUACAAGAUAUUAUAUGUUAUGGCUUAACAGUCUCCAUGACACAAUAUGGCUUGACUUCACAGUUUAAUUCUAUAGGAUUAUCUUACCCUGUCUUCAGCAUCUCUAAUUGCAUCUGUCUCAGAAGUGAUGAUGAAUUGUUUUGUAUCGUUAUUCACCAGGCUGCACGCUGCAGAGCAAAAACUAAAUAACUUCAGAAGCUUUUCUAUGUCAGGUGAAAGAGAGAGAAAAAGACCGCCCGCCCCCCACCAAUAAUCCAAAACUGAGCUUCUAUUAGACCCCUUAAGAACGAAACAAGCAUGCAAAUUGAUCUAUAUAUAAUUAAAACCUCACCAUAUGCUAUAUUAAUUGCUGUUUCCAUUUUAUCUCCAGUUAGCACCCAAAUUUUUAUGCCAGCUGCAGAAAGAGUUUCAAUGCAGGCUGGAACCCCUUCUUGCAGUUUGUCUUCUAUUGCAGUGCACCCUAUCAAUAUAAGGUCCUUUUCAAUCAACUCAGCCACCUACAGGGGAAGAAACAGAAGGAAAUUAUAUGGCAAUGUCCCAGCAAUAUCUUAAAUCAGAAUAUACAUUAAGUCUAUUACUUCAAAUUCCUUUUUCCUAGAAAUCACAGUGAACUUAGUACAUGAAAGAAUGAAAGGAUAAUGCUUUUCUAAUGGGGAUUUGAAAAAACAUCAUAAAAAUAAUAAUAUAAAGUACUGUAUGUUCUUGUUCUAGAUAAAUUACAAAUAUCUUUUGCUCAUGAUCCUCUUUCCUGACUAAAAAAUAUAUAUUAUUAUGUAAAAUACUAAUGUUCUAUGGCAGUACAAGAUAAUAAAUUAGCACAAAAAACUAUUAAACUGCAAAUGUCAGCUGUUAGGGAUGGAUGACAUGACUCCUGUAGUUUUGGGGGGAGAGAGAGAGGAGACACACUGAACAAAUUACUUCCUUCGUCUCCAAAGAUUGCCAUGCCACAUUCUAUUCGGUCAGUCAACCUUUUACAACUUCAAAAUUAACAAUUAUAAGUGAAUUGAAUUACUACAUGAAAAAUAACAGCACUCAAUUUGCUUGCAUAAUAAUUUGUACGCAAAACUUUUGCUUGUAUAUUAGCAUAGAAAUCAUAGCCAGAGUUUUAUGUUGGGAGAAUAUAAAAUUAAAAAAUGGCCUACAUUUGUCAGGUACAUUCAGUUAAUUGUUUCCAAAACCAAAUUAAUUUUCAUACAUAAAUACCAAACGGAUCAAUAGCAUGCUCAACAGUGCACAUGAGACUCGAGUUCAGUACUGGAUGACAGAAAGUAAAAAAAAUCAGGCAAGCACUAGAAGGUGGAGGGGAAGUAAUCGAAAUUCAAAUCACAGGGACUGUUCAGCCUGUAUACUCAACAGAAGAGGAUGGUACACAUACCUCAUCAAGCUUCUUAUCACGAUCUCGUAAAGAAGAUUUAGCUUGAACAAACUUCUCAUUCCAGCUUUCGUACUGCUCCCUGCUUAGAUCUCGAUAAGCAAGGCAAAGCGUGCGCAAGCCAGCAGAGCCAAAUUGUUCUAGAUGUUCUCUGCUUGUCUUUUUAAUGUCAUGAUUUCCAUCAGCUAACCGUUCAAAAAUGACAUUAUCAGCGCCCUGUUACACAACAUUUGUAUAAGGUUAGUGCAUCAAUCUACAAAGUGAUAGCUACAUAAAGAUUCUUUUUUCUUGUAUUACCUUGCAAUACAGAACAAGUUUUCCAUUUGGGAAACGGCAAACCACAGAUUGGCGCUUUCUUGUACUGUGAGUGCAGUAAAGUGUGAAGUGCAGAACAAUGAUUUCAUCUUGUCAAAUUUAAAUUGAAAACAGAUAAACCAGACCUGUUGAAUUCCAAAACAUUCAGAAUUUCAUAUGCAACAUCUUGUAUACUCCCCAUCCUCUCAACAUGUGAUUCCCGAACCAAGACUGUGGUUGGCGUACGUCUACAAGACAGGCACAAAAUGUCAACCACCGGCAUUGCCAUUCACAAUAAAAAUGCCACAUGAAAUAAUUUGCAACAAAAAUCAUAAGAACUUAGAUGAGUUCAUGUUCACAGCACUUGCUUUAACACUUGUCUUAAUUUACAACGGCAAUUUUUUGUUGAUGGGCUAAUAGUUUAUUUAUGCUUCUUAGUAUGUACAUUCAGUCCUUCAUACAACAAACUAUAUAAGCAAUAACCUGGGUGAGUGACUCUUUUAUGCACAUUUUCCUUGGGACCAUAGCAUAGUUUUUUAAGAUACCUUGUUUGCAACAAACUGAUAAGAGGAAUCUAUAACUGUAUUUAAAGGCAAGGUAAGACAUGCCUAUAAAAGAAGAAACCAAAAUUCUUCGCAGCAGCGACAAGCGCGGCCUCGUCGGGAGAGGCAGCUUGAUAAGUAAUCUUUUCCGGUGUCUCCUCACCCUCAGGAAGAACUGUAUGACAGAUUGCAAGGCAUCUGCAGAAUUGCUAUAGAGCAAAUAACAAAGUUGUUACACAACUAGCACAUUAACAAGGGAAAAUGUGAAAAAGGAAAAUAGGUUCCAAAUUUUAUUAGUAAGGGCAUAUAUCGUGAUAUGUGAAUAAUUUGUGUCAACUAAAUCAAAACUGAUUAUGACCAAAGGGGAACCAAUCGAACUAUUCCACAGGUAGUCCCGUAUUUACCACGCAAGCAUCAGGAUUAGGUUCAUUUCUCCAUGCACCACGCAUUAUUCUAGCAUCAUCAAAGUUGAAUCCUUUCUCAUGAACUGCAGUGGCUGAUCUUUUACCCUAAAAAAGGCAAGUAAACUGGAUAUUAAAUCAGUUGUGCAUUAAAUUUUUCAUCAUAUACCACCACACUUCAAUAGCGUAAACAACAAAGAAAAUGUUGUAGACCUCAUCAUCAUCAAUCUUGACUCCGGCUCGCUCGGCUCCUCCUUUUUCAAUCUCUGUGAUGCCAGUUCCAUAUAUUUCCCCUCCAAUCGAACAUUUAAAGAAUUCCAUCAAGUUUCUUGUAAGUGUUCCAGUUUUGUCAGAAAAUAUAUACUCAACCUGAACCAUUAGUGGGGCAAAAAAAAUUUGGCAGAAAUGUCAAAUUAUUUGCAAGUGUUAAGUGCAUUUUAGUACCACUCGGCAUUUGUUCAGUCAUAUAAGCAUUUCUGGGGAUCUAGAACAGUUUUUCGGUGGGAGUAAGUCACUUAAUAUUAGUGAAAUGAGACUGUUCCCCAAGUGCUUAUAAUUGAUCCCACUUUCUGGAAUGAGUCGGUGCAGUGAGGUCAUUCUAUCCAUUAACCAAACCCAGCCAUAUAGGUCAAAUAAGUAAAUAACCCCAUUUCAGCAACAAACAAAGGGGCUUUCAUCAAACUAAACAGAAUGCUAAGGAACAAAAAAAAAACUGAUAUUACCUGCCCAAGCUCCUCAUUCAGAUUAGAAGUCCGAGCCAAAGCUGGGGUGUUGCUCUCGGCAUGAUACAUAUUCAGAUCAUUGUUAAUAAACUUUGCACACUGAAUGAAUUUGAUCAUCUGCCAGCCAAAAUAAACAUAAGGUCCAAUCCAAAUACAGGGUACACUAAAUGAUAAAUUGGUCAAUAUACCUCAAUGGAUACAUAAAGAGAAAUGGGGAUGAUCGUUGAGUAUAGAGUUAUUAGAGUAAACAUAGUUAAAAUGGUCACCUGCAAAAGUACAAACCUAUGAUAUAAGGCCACUUAGAGAAUAUUCUCUACAAUAAAUUAACUAAAAUAAUAUAUACCACAAAUCUGUUCUUGGGAUUAAACUGGUCCUCGACACGCCCACGCAAUCCAAGAUAGAAGUAUUUCUCAUUAAUAAACACGCCACUGUUCACAAAAGCCAAGUAUGAUGAGUCCAUUGGUAGAGUUUUAGGUUUCUAAAGAACGUGCAAGCUAAGCAGUCAUAGUUACCAAAAUCUAUAUGCUGAACAGAGCACUUCCAUUUCUGACCAUCUAGAAAGUGCCCUAUUAUGUACCUCCCACAUAAAACCACUAAGAAAAAAGAUAAGGCUAUUAAGACCUAGUCAUGUGCUCAUCUAUACUGCUCCUAUGCCACAAUAAAAAAAUAACUUCCCCAAACAAGCUCCUGACAACUCAUGUCAUAAUGUUUAAAGUUUAUCUCUCUAUUAACAGUUGUUUUUUCAUGAUCAAUUAAAUUGUGAAAAAUGAUUGUGCAAGCAUAAGCCUCCACAACAUCAACCUAACCGAUAUAACUCAUGUUCAGAGAAUAUACAUGUAAACAAUAAUACAAGAUAGAUAAGUCAAAUAAAUGAAGUGGGCCAAAUAAAACACUGACCUUCCAAUAGCACCAAUGACACACAUCGUAAAGAGGGUUGCAAAUAGAGCAAGAAUAAGCUUGUCUAGUUUCUUCUCCAAUGUACUUCUUUUAGAGGGAACAUUCAUAGAAUUCAUCAUAACCUGCAAUAGUGUCCCACUGCAGUAAAUCUCAAAACUAGAAGCACAUCUAACCUACAAGUUGAAUAUAUAGGGACACAAAAUUGCACAUACUUUCGUCUCAUGGCCCGUGAAUAUAACAGCCGCGACAAUGUACUCUGUAUUACGAAGGCUGCAUCCCUGUGGCAAAGUGGUAAUAAGAGGUUGCAUGUGUGCCACAUAAAGAGAGAGAAUUAAGUGUCAUGCAAGACACCGUUCAGUCUGGUGAAAGUAAACAUUUCUUUUGCACUUUACAAACAUUGCUUCAACCCUUCACCACUUAUCCUACAUAUGGGACUAGAGAAGAAAUGGAAGUUGUUUAUAUGAAUGUUAAACAUUUCCAAAUUGUUUAUAUCAUAGCUAUCCUUGUUUGCAAACCAAUAAGAACAAUAUUAUUAUAGAGGUGUUUUAUGAUGAAAAUUUCUGCUGGUGACAUUUGGGUGUCGUCAAUAUUGGUAUUUGGAGGAGAUGUUGGUGAUCAAAGUUAAAGGCCGAGUAAAGGCAUCACGCUAUGAUGUUAUUUUUUACCUGAGGGAUUUUCUUAACAAACUCAUGCUAAAUCUAGAACAUGCAAACAACUUUGCAGGUGGACAAUCUUGUAAAGAAAUUUCAAGGGCAUGUUUGUGUGAGGGGUAUUACUUUGGUACGUGUUGGUAACUACAUACCUAAUUGUUACAAGAAAAAUCUCAUCCAAACAAGCCCUAAGGACAUUAUGGACCUUGCUACUGCAAAGUUGGUAAGUCGAAAAUACGACAGGAUGUCUGAUUGAUAUGUAGGACCUGGACCCACAUGUCAUUCUCACAGCGAGUCGCACUAUUUCAAAUGUCAACUUUGUGGUGGCAUGGUUUCAAUUUUCCCAAUAAGAAACUAGAUACAAAUAGCAUAGAUGAACAGCACUUACCCUUAGUAGUAUUUGAUUUGGUGAAAUUGGUAUAGUUUGCUUGUCCACAAUAAGGUUCCCGGUAAAUGUAUAAAGUGAAUUGUUUGGCUGUUCGCAUUGUAUUUCACCUGUAAGCCAUGAAACAUACAGAUAAUGUGAAGUUAAGAAAAUGUAGAAUAGUUAAGUGAAGUUCAGAAAAGGAGCAAUGCUUCCUACACCAACUACCGAAAAAUGUCUGCAACAUGGAACAAGAAUAGAUAAAAACCUUUGAAUUCAGAAGCCUUUUCAGGAAUUACGCAGUCCCAGGUUUUCUCCAAAGCCUUCCUUAUUUUCAGGUUAGUUUCCCCAUCAAGAUUUGCUGUCUAAGGUAAAUAGAAGUAUGAUACACUUCAAUUAAAACAGAGUUUCUCUAAAUCAUUCAAUAAUUUCAAUUUGGACAAAAGAUGGAGAAGGUAAGAAUGAAUAUAUUGACCUCUAUGUAGCAGACACCAUCAGGGUUCGUACUUGAUAGGAAGAGCAAGUCAGAAGGAAAGUAAGUGUCUUGCUUGAUCUGCUCUAAAGAAGUGCCAUCACUAUUAGUCUUUUUGGAUAUGUGUAUCGAGCUGAAGAUUAAAUUUGCACAGCACAAAAGAUCAAGUGCAUUAAUUUGUGGAAGCAACAGAUCAAUUGAAUUGAUCAUCAAAUUGCUAUCAGGAAAGAUGAAGACAUUACCCUCACAAUAUCUCCAACCUGCAGUCUUUUCCAAGGGGCACUUUCCCAUUUUUGACCUUGCAAUACAUCGACGUGCGCAUUAUUAAUUGACAUGUCAUUCUGGAAACGUUUCUGUAUAAUGGGAGGCAAACAAAAAGGGAAGAAUAUCAGAUAACAUUAAGAAUAGCAAUAAAAUAGUGGAGCAACAGAGCAUGAGAGCAAUACUAACCCAGUCCUCAAAAGCUUCCUUGAUGAGUGAAACCAAAAGCACUAAACUAAGUGGAACCACAUUGGUGACAGGGUGGACUGGACUGCGAAGAUACAAGCAUGUAUGAACUAAGAUUUCUAGAAGUAAAGGUGAAGGAAAGCAAAGGAUGACUGAAUCAACUGAUGGACUUGAUAUGCUAAGAAGUGUCUAGCUGUAACAUGAGAAUUCCAUAGGGUGCAUGCAUGAGAGAGAGAGAGAGACCUAAUUGGUGUAGUCGACAAGAUUGAAAUCAUAAGAAAGUAAAGAUUUGCCACCCGUCUGAACUGUCAAAGCAAAAAAAAAAACAAAUGAAUUACAAAAGGUUCCUAUGGUCAAAUUGCGAUAAUACAGAAAGGGAACAUCUAAAUCGGUGUUACAGCUACCAUUGCAAAGUUUCUUUAUUCGAUAUGGAAAAAUGCAUUACAUGUUUAAUGUAUGAAGCCAUUGAAAUACUUUAAUGUACCUUACGUAAAAAACAGUGGAUAAUGAAAUUGCCAGAAUUAUGGUAUCGCAUAAAAUGAAGGUUACAUUGAGCGAAAAGCAUGAUCAGGGCUUUACCAAAUAACAAAAUCAUACUUCUCCUUUUCUCAAUAUAUGGCAUUUUAGGUUUCAUUGAAGACAAGUCUUUGAAAAGGAUUUACUUUGUGUUGUUUUUAAGGCAUGAAAUUUAUAUCACUAGAUUCAUCCUCAAAAGUACUUAAUGUGGAUUCAUAUCAUAUAAAUCACAUAUUAAUGAAGUAAUUCUUGGUCAAAGUCUUGUAUUAACGAAACCUAAUAUGUCCUGUAUUGACAAAAUGAGGGAGUAUAUUAUCUAACAGUGCAUGUAUACAGGCACGAUACUGGUAGCGCGUAUUACAAGCAAGGUAUCUUAAAAACAUUGCAACACAGUGCCAGACCAGGUAAGCAACUAAGCAUCUCAUGUAUCCACUAUUUUAAGGGAAGUUGAUCCAGAGUGAGGAAAUAAACAUUUUUAAGGAGAUAUAUCAAUUUGCAAUGUGAAAAUGAUACGGAGUAGUAUAAUCAUUUCACUGUGAUAACAAAUACUCCCUCCGUUCUAAAUACUUGUCGCUGUUUUAGUGCAAACUAAAACAGCGACAAGUAUUUAGGAACAGAGGGAGUAACUUCCAUUUACCGUUAGACAUGAUACAAAAUAAUAUGUUGAAAAAAAAUCUAGCCAAAAACUAAAAAACAAACAGAAAAUCUGCAUUAAACGAUGACAAACCCAGCAGGUAUGUUGAUUAACAAAAUAUGUAUGAACAAAAAACAACGCAUCAAUACCUGUUCAAACAAUCCUUUAGGUAGAAAUGUCAGCACACUGUACUUUGUAGUCGACACAGAAUUUCCCUGGAAAUGUAGAAUGAGAAUGUUAAAGAACUAAUUCUAGCAGAAAAACAAAGUAGCGCUCUGCAUUAGAAUCGCGAUGGUCUGAUACCCAACAUGAGGGAGAUUCUGAAACUAAACAGAAGAGCUAAUUGCAACUAGAAGCAUGAAAAAAGUAUAGCUUGAUCUUUUUACAACAUCAAGUCUGAAUACAUUCAAGCAUUUACACUAACUUGGAACAAAAUGUGGGUGUCAAAGAAAAUGCAUGAAUACACCUACUUACAAUAAAGCACCAAUUUUGCAGUGAUUGGACAAACUAUGGUUAAAAUACUUAAUAAUAGAGUUCUACGUAUUUGGAGGCAUAAAACGCAUUGCAGUUGGAGCAGUGGCAUUAUCAUGUUAGUCAGUCUAACAUGGCAGUGAAUGACGUGAAUUUUUUGCUAGUUUAGACCUCUGGCCAGCGCAAUUGACAAAAAUGCCCCCCUCUCAAAACUAAUGCCAAAAAUGGUCUGGCAGAAGGCCCGAAAGGCGCCACAUUUCAUUUUUCGCCAUCUGAGCUGCGCAUGCAAACAUUCCGACAACCUGAAAGGCGGAAAGGCCGUUCCGCCUACUGCAUUUGAUGAAUGCACCUGACAAGGGCGGAAGGUGAACUGGGCCCUGCAGAUGGAAGCAAUUUCCACAUUUGUUACAGACCUGGAAUCUUUUUUUUUGUUGGAGUCGACGGACCAUGUAUGUGCGGAUGCAUAGGAAUCGGCAAGCAGCCUAGCUGCUAGUUCACGGGCACGUUUUACAUUUUCUUUCCUCAGGUUUGGCUAGUGCUACCACGUUGAUACUAAUCAACGCUUCUUGUGAAUGGGCUUAGUUGCUUCUACUAGUCGUGCGAGCGUUAAUCUUUUCUCUGUGCGCCUGCAUGUGCGGGCGUGGGAAUCGGGUCAGGUCCCUGCAGACAGCACGCCUGGCUGCACUGGGCCUGCUUCAGCUUCCGCCCCUGAAAAUUCACUUUCGUCCAUUUCAACUGGAAACAAGUAGGCUCCACCUGUCCUGUUGGCGGAAAGUUCAUUCCUCCUACCCAGUGGCCACUGGGUCAGUUGCUGGGCUUUCCACCACGUCAUUUUUCAAAUUAUAUUUCAGAUGGAGCUAUUUUUGCCAAUUCCGUUUGACAAGGGGCUACAAGAGCAAAGAAAUUGAAUGACAUAGCAAGCAAUCAAUUUCCCCUUAUAGGUAAAUAAUAAACAGCUUUGCUUCAGCUUACUGUCAUCAGCUGGUGGCUGACUGCCCUGACCAAACACAAGUUCAGUAAUCUACACAGCAAGCGGCACACAGGUGCAGCUAAGCACAUGGAUGAACAGAAUAUUCCAGCCAUUGAGGCUCAGCUCUCGAAGCUUAAUGCCAGGUGGCAUCUACAUUGUAUUGCAGCCCGUAGCACCCUGAUUGACUAGUAACCCAACAAUGAGACAAGCUCUAAUCCACCCAAUGACCUCACAGUUGGCAAGAAAUGCAGCCCUUAGUGACACGCACCACCCUACAUAACUUUCUCGUGGACUAAUCAGUAUGAAUCAUAUAAACCCUCUGCAAGCUGCAGUGAAAUAAAACUACUACUACUGAACUAGCUAUUGUCCCAGAUGGCCAUCUCCAACCCAACCGCCCAAGCAUGAAACAAGGGGCCAGUUACGAGAUCUAGGCCUACAGACCCCUAGACCUUGAGACAACCGACCUGUUGAUCAUCCGAAUUAGAGGAGGAGGUGCACACCCGU
rnacentral:lncRNA from 1 species